rnacentral:rRNA from 1 species
UACGGGGGGGGCUAGCGUUGUUCGGAAUUACUGGGCGUAAAGGGCGCGUAGGCGGCCUACUAAGUCAGACGUGAAAUCCCUCGGCUUAACCGGGGAACUGCGUCUGAUACUGGAUGGCUGGAGGUUGGGAGAGGGAUGCGGAAUUCCAGGUGUAGCGGUGAAAUGCGUAGAUAUCUGGAGGAACACCGGUGGCGAAGGCGGCAUCCUGGACCAAUUCUGACGCUGAGGAGCGAAAGCCAGGGGAGCAAACGGG